rnacentral:rRNA from 1 species
UACGGGGGAUGCAAGCGUUAUCCGGAAUCAUUGGGCGUAAAGCGCCUGUAGGUUGUUUAUUAAGUCUGUUGUUAAAGACUAGGGCUUAACCCUAGAAAAGCAAUGGAAACUAAUAGACUAGAGUAUGGCAGGGGUAGAGGGAAUUUCUAGUGUAGCGGUGAAAUGCGUAGAUAUUAGAAAGAACACCAGUGGCGAAAGCGCUCUACUAGACCAUUACUGACACUCAGAGGCGAAAGCUAGGGUAGCAAAAGGGAUUAGAUACCCCUGUAGUCCUAGCCGUAAACGAUGGAUACUAGAUGUUGUAUGUUUUUUACAGUAUUCUAGCUAACGCGUUAAGUAUCCCGCCUGGGGAGUACGCUCGCAAGGGUG